AGUGGCAGACGGGUGAGUAAUGCGUAGGAAUCUACCUAGUAGUAUGGAAUAGCCAUUAGAAAUGAUGGGUAAUACUGUAUAAUCCCUGCGGGGGAAAGAUUUAUCGCUAUUAGAUGAGCCUACGUUAGAUUAGCUAGUUGGUAAGGUAAUGGCUUACCAAGGCUAUGAUCUAUAGCUGGUCUGAGAGGACGAUCAGCCACACUGGAACUGAGAUACGGUCCAGACUCCUACGGGAGGCAGCAGUGGGGAAUAUUGGACAAUGGGCGAAAGCCUGAUCCAGCUAUGCCGCGUGAGUGAAGAAGGCCUUCGGGUUGUAAAGCUCUUUCAAUAGGGAAGAUAAUGACGGUACCUAUAGAAGAAGUCCCGGCAAACUCCGUGCCAGCAGCCGCGGUAAUACGGAGGGGGCAAGCGUUGUUCGGAAUUAUUGGGCGUAAAGGGCACGUAGGUGGACUAGUAAGUUAAAAGUGAAAUACCAAAGCUUAACUUUGGAGCUGCUUUUAAUACUGCUAGACUAGAGGUCGAAAGAGGAUAGCGGAAUUCCUAGUGUAGAGGUGAAAUUCGUAGAUAUUAGGAGGAACACCAGUGGCGAAGGCGGCUAUCUGGUUCGAUACUGACACUGAGGUGCGAAAGCGUGGGGAGCAAACAGGAUUAGAUACCCUGGUAGUCCACGCUGUAAACGAUGAGUGCUAAAUGUGAGGAUUUUAUCUUUGUAUUGUAGCUAACGCGUUAAGCACUCCGCCUGGGGACUACGGUCGCAAGACUAAAACUCAAAGGAAUUGACGGGGACCCGCACAAGCGGUGGAGCAUGUGGUUUAAUUCGAUGCUACGCGAAAAACCUUACCACUUUUUGACAUGAAGGUCGUAUCCCUCCUAACAGGGGGAGUCAGUUCGGCUGGACCUUACACAGGUGCUGCAUGGUUGUCGUCAGCUCGUGUCGUGAGAUGUUGGGUUAAGUCCCGCAACGAGCGCAACCCUCAUCCUUAGUUACCAACAGGUAAUGCUGGGCACUCUAAGGAAACUGCCAGUGAUAAACUGGAGGAAGGUGGGGAUGAUGUCAAAUCAGCACGGCCCUUAUAAGGUGGGCUACACACGUGCUACAAUGGCAACUACAAUAGGUUGCGAGACCGCAAGGUUUAGCUAAUCCAUAAAAGUUGUCUCAGUUCGGAUUGUUCUCUGCAACUCGAGAGCAUGAAGUCGGAAUCGCUAGUAAUCGUGGAUCAUCACGCCACGGUGAAUACGUUCUCGGGUCUUGUACACACUGCCCGUCACGCCAUGG
rnacentral:rRNA from 1 species